ensembl:lncRNA
AAGAAAAGGGAGGAGCUGAUGUGUUCUGGGUCCCACAGUUAUGAACUCCCUGUGGGGCAGCCAGUCCCCCUCCCAGACCCUGAUGCUCCAGGUCGGCCUCCUCCUGGCUAUCUCCUCACCAAGCUUCCAGACUGUGGACAACCCCAGCAUCUCGCACACCCUGGAAAGGACUGUGGGGACAUCUGUCCAGCUGCAGCUGACCUCCUCCUUGUACCCGAAUGUCCGAGAGAUUGAGUGGAGUUGGCAUUCUGAGACUGAGAAAGAAGGGAUCCUGGUGUCCUGGAAACUUAAUGCCACUCCUGACUGGUAUGAACUGGAGGAAAAAUACAGGAGCAGCUUCUCUCUGCUAGAGCCAGCAGUUUUGAGCAUCAGGAAUCUCACCACGGAAAUGAGUGGAUGGUAUACAGCAAGGCUCAAAUUCCGCACAGGAAAAUCCCAGAAGGAAGUCUUUAAACUCUGUGUAUAUGAGCCCAUCCCCCACCCCCAGAUCGUGAUUCAUUCAUCAUCCAACCAGGCAGGCUGGUGCAAUGUCAGUCUGGAGUGUGGGACCCCAGGAGCCACAGAGAUCUGGACAGUGACCUGGCUGAGUGAGGGGCUUCCCAGGGAGCUGGAGGAGAGAGAGGCUCUGGGGCCAGCCCCCAGCUCCAGGAAUCUAAGCCUGAGCCUGCCCCUGAGCCAGCUCAAUGGCCCCCUCACCUGCAGGGUCAGCAACCCCGUGGACGAAAAGAAUGCAACCUUACUCCUGCAGAACAUCUGUCUGUGGAAGGGUUCUCAGAGCAAGUGGCUUUGGAGAGGCGUCUUGUUCACAGUUCUGAUGCUGAGCGUGGCCUGCGGAGUGUGCAUCUGGGUGAGGAAGAAGAUACAGUCCAGGAGGGGCAGGUCCGCUCUGCUGCCCACAGAGCUGGGCUCAGCAACGAUGCCCCAGGCCCCGCCCACAGAGGAACCUGUUGGCCUGCGGACUGCAGGGGCCCACAGCCACAGUCCUCCUGACGUGGAGAUCAGCCUCCUGAGACACCCCAAGAAUGACAUGGAGAGGGACAGCUGCCAUCCCCCUAAGCCCAAGUGCAGCCCAACCGUCUACACUGUCUACGAGAAGGUCCGGAUGAGCCGAAUGACCCAGAAGGACACCUAGGUUAACGAAGACGUUGAGGUAUGAGGGGCCUUGGCAAGACCUGCCCCACCUUACACUCCACCCAGGGUCCCAGAAAUCCCUCCUUAGGUAGAGCUAGGACAAGACCCCAGAUCUUCCUGAUGUGCUCCCCCACCCCAAGAUGGCAGAGCAGCACCACGUGUCCCAGGGCUCCUCACCAAGGUCGUCUCACCUCACGGGCGGGGAGCUUUGACCACGUCGCUUGAGCCUCCAGCAGGUUGGGCUGAUCCCUGGGCGGGCGGUCAGGUUUCUGACCUGUGACCCACUGACCCCCGUGAGGGAACGCCCGUAGUCAGCCAGGACCCGAGGACGCACGUCUGGGAACAGAGAUGCUUUCCCAGAAUUGGGCGGGCCUUGGAUGGAGGAUUUCCGGGAUGUCACUGCCCAGCCCAUCCCCCAAGAACAGAAGAGGGAUGGGCUGGACUGUAGAAAAGCAAGAGCUGCUGAGAUAAAGUUCAGGGUCAGCUUCAGCACGGAGGGAGGGGCAGAAAGGAAGGAAAUAAUUCUUGAGCCCCAUCACCUGCAGGCUUAUUGUAAGCACCAGACACGCACUAGCUCCAGAUCUCUCAAAAUUCAAGCAGUUUAUCAACCCUGUUAAAAAAAAUUACCUAAUGUACAUAAAUUGGAAGAAAGUCAAAGGCACGUCUCCUUGAAUUUAUCUUUCAUCAGUUGCAAAUGGGAUCCUGUUCCUGUUGUAUCUCCUAAUUAGUUGUUACCAUAACGCACCCACAACACGUACUGCCGCAUCGCUAAGUUUCUCUACUGUUUGAAAUAGUUUUUCGUUCGAUCCCUUCGAAUUUCUGGGCAAAGAACCAUAUUAAUGACAAAUAAUUAGACUUUUUCCUUCUUUCUUUCCGAUUUUUACACUUCAUUCCUCUCCUGUGUCUUGAUGCUGGUGAACACCCCCCAGUGUUUAAUAAGAGUGACUCCGAAGCUCAUCCUUGUGUUCCGAACUUAUUGCAAGUGGUCCAAGCGUGUCCCUGUUAAGCAUGAUGUUUAUUGUAAGGUUUUUAAGGCAUAUCUAAAAAGUAUGUCCUUAGUGUUACUUUAUCAAGAAUUUUGCCAUGAAGAAAAUGUGAGAGUUUCUUCUUUCCCUUUUAUCAUCCAUGAUGAUGUUAUCCGGUUUUCCUGUUUUUCCUCUGUGAAUAAUACAUUAAUAGAUUUCCUCCUAUUGAACUGUUCUUAUGCUACUGGAAUAAAUCCCAGUUGCUGUAUUAUUUUCUUAAUGUG